AACAAAGGACCAAGAAGGCUGAGCCCGAUGAAGCAAGACUUUGCUGAUAUACUCCUAGGAAAAAAGGGUUGGAGAGACAAGCCCUAUUGUGGGGGGGGGGGUCACAGAGCUGACUGUAUCACCCAACAUUU